UGGCCAUGUUGAAUUAAUUAUGAAGAAACUAGGAAUGUAUUCAUUUUAAUAGCUUCCUGAUGCAUGGACUCUUUUGUCUCUCUUCCUCUGUUGCUUGAAAACAUACAACAGCAAUACCCUCCUGCUCCUCACUUCCUCCCUCCCCUUUUCCUCUGCUAACAUACUAUGUUAAAUAUGCUAACUUUUUUUUCAGUAGUUGAAAUCAGUUUUGGAGCAGUAAGAGUCACACCCUUGCUAUAAUCAAGAUUUACUUUUUCUAAGCUAAGGCCAAGACUUGUUCUUGUAGAAGCUGCUUAAUGAGUCUACCUUGGAUAGCUUCAUGUGGGUUUUGGAUUUCUCCCAAGGCUAAUGUGGCACAGCUGAGGCACUGCUCUAGUGAUGAGCUGACAUGUCUAGAGAUGACUACCUCCUGUCCUUUAAAAAGCAAUGAAGUAGCCAUAGUAGCCCCUUUGCUUUUCCUCAUAGGUUGUGGGAUCCUUCCAGAAGCAAGACAGAGAGGAAGGCUGAUGUCACUGGAGCAAGCCCAUUUCCAAAAAAACCCACUGUUACUCAGAAGACAGUUUUCAUCUUCUUAUGAAAUACGUGUGAAAGAAAAAGAAGCAGCUGCGCCAAAGAGCCCAGUAACCCAGAAGUUUCCUGUCCUAUUCUUUCCUAUGGAGAAUGCUGGGAUUUGGAAGCUCUCA